UACGUAGGGGGCAAGCGUUGUCCGGAUUUAUUGGGCGUAAAGAGCGUGUAGGCGGCUAGAUAGGUCCGUUGUGAAACCUCCAGGCUCAACCUGGAGACGCCACCCGAUACUGCCAUGGCUAGAGUCCGGUAGGGGACCACGGAAUUCCUGGUGUAGCGGUGAAAUGCGCAGAUAUCAGGAGGAACACCGGUGGCGAAGGCGGUGGUCUGGGCCGGCACUGACGCUGAGGAGCGAAAGCGUGGGGAGCGAACAGG
rnacentral:rRNA from 1 species